rnacentral:misc_RNA from 1 species
UCUCCGUAGGUGAACCUGCGGAGGGAUCAUUACAGAGUUCAUGCCCUACCGGGUAGAUCUCCCACCCUAUGUUAUCAUCACUUUGUUGCUUUGGCGGGCCGUCAGGCCUCGGCUUGGCUACCGCCUCUCGCUGGUAAGCGCCCGCCAGAGAACCCCAAACCCGAAAUAUCAGGGUCGUCUGAGUACUAUAUAAUAGUUAAAACUUUCAACAACGGAUCUCUUGGUUCUG